CGCCAUUCCAUGAUCAUUGGGUUAUCGUCUGCAUUCCUGACGUAGUGUUUACAGCUUCCUGCUUAUGGCAACAAGGAAGCAGAACGCAGAGUGAUGAGAGAUUUAUGUGGAUAUGAUAGCACUGGACACUUCGAGGCUCCAUUGGCAAAACAUGCGGCAAAUAGGAAACCAAGGGUAGACCUUUGACAUUUAAGAAGUAUAUGCCCUAAGAUUUCUACAGAUCCUGAAAUUCAUCACUACGGCAGAAUCACGCAUCUUAUGAAAACCAAGAAUAAAAUGACACCUGACAACCUUGCCAGCUCAGCACAUCUGGAGGCACUAAAUGUCUGACCCAGGAAAUGUGCAUCAAACUGACGGUCUAGUCAUCCCAGCAAGAGUGAAGUGGCCUCUCCUGUGGUUUUGAUUUGCAUUUCUCUAAUGACUAUGUUGAACAUCUUUUCAUGUCCUUGUUAGCCAUUUGUAUAUCCUCUUUGGAGAAAUGUCUGUUAAAGUAUUCUGCUCAUUUUUUCCCUUCAGUUGUUUGUCUUUUUGUUAUUGAGUUGUCAGAGUUCUUUAUAUAAUCUGGAUAGUAGACAUUUUUUGGAUAUAUGAUUUGAAAAUAUUUUCUGUCAUUCUAUAGGUAGUCUUUUCACUCCCUUGAUGCAUGAAAGUUUUAAUUUGAUAAAGUACAAUUGAUGUACAAAAGUUUUAAUUUGAUAAAGUACAAUUAAUUUUUUAUUUCGUUGCUUCUACUUUUUGUGUCAUAUCUAAGAAACAAUUGCUGAAUACAAGGUUAUGAAUAUUUCCCCCUAAGUUUUUUUCUAAGACUUUUAUAGUUUUAGCUUUUAUAUUUAUGUCUCAUAUCCAUUUUGAGGUAAGGGCUCAACUUUAUUUUUUUGCAUAUGGAUACCCCGUUGUCUCAGCAUCAUUUGUGGAAGACACUAUUCUUUCGCCAUUGAAUGCUUUUGGAACACUGGUCAAAAGUUAAACAUGAAUUGGCCAAAGAUAAAUGGGCUGAUUUCUAGAUUCUCAAUUCUAUUCCAUUGAUCUGUAUGUCUAGCCUUAUAUCAUUAUCACACUUUUCAUUGCUAAAGGCUUUGUUGUAAGUUUUGAAAAAGCAAAGUGGGAGUUCACCAACUCUGUUCAAGAUGAUUUUGGUUUUGGAGGGUUUCUUAAAAUUCCAUAAAAAUUUUAAGACCAGCUUUUCUAUACCUGCAGAAAAGCCCAUUGAAAUUGUGAUUGUUAUUGCAUUAAAUCUAUAGAUUGAUUCAAGUAUUGUCCUCUUAAAAAUACUAAGUCUUUCAAUCUAUCAACAUAAAAUGCUUUUUCCAUCACUUUCAUUUUUGUUACAUCAAAGAAGUUUAUUUUCAAAAUAUUUCAAGAACUGAUAGUAUUAUUUCUUACACAGGACAGUGUUAGAUAUUUUGGUUUUUUAUAUUUUAUUAGCAUGUAAGUAUAUAAUAAAUACAUAAAACAUAAUAAAAUUUCUACCGAG
rnacentral:lncRNA from 10 species